GACUACUCUGGUGGCCAAGUGGUUAGAGCAUCUGCCUCGGAUGCAGGAGGUCGUGGGUCUAAACCCAAGUCAAGUCA